rnacentral:rRNA from 1 species
UACGUAGGGUGCAAGCGUUGUCCGGAAUUAUUGGGCGUAAAGAGCUCGUAGGCGGUCUGUCGCGUCUGCUGUGAAAACUCGGGGCUUAACCCCGGGCCUGCAGUGGGUACGGGCAGACUAGAGUGCGGUAGGGGAGACUGGAAUUCCUGGUGUAGCGGUGAAAUGCGCAGAUAUCAGGAGGAACACCGGUGGCGAAGGCGGGUCUCUGGGCCGUAACUGACGCUGAGGAGCGAAAGCGUUGGGAGCGAACAGG